AUGGUCCUCGGCAGCAGCCUCCCUGGCAUGGGGGUGAAGCGGAGCCUUCAAAGUGGGGGCACCUUGCUGGGCUUCUUGGCCAACAUCCUCACCAUUCUGUCCAUGGCCACCAACUACUGGAUCCGCUACUCUGGGGGCCACAGUGGCCUGUGGCAGGAGUGCAGCGGGGGCACCUGCUCCAACAUCUCCUGCCAGAGUGAGGCCCCGCCGCCCAGCUGUCAGACCCUCCCCCCCUACUGGACAGACAGCCCCCCAGCACUGACCACAGCUGGCCCCCUCUCCUGACACUACAGCCGGGCACAUCCUGCGGUGCCCCCGCCCCCAGCCCUUCCACUUCGGCCUAAGAUCCAGCUGUCCCUCCGUGACCAGGCCACCAGGAACCCCAACUCGGGGACCUGCCUCCCUGUUGCAACAUUAACCGCCGCUCACGAUCCAUGCUGGCGGUGACCGGGGCGUGCAUGGUGCUGGCGGCGGGCUGCAGCAUCGUGGGCUUGGUGAUGGGGCUGCGGAUUCUGUGCCAGGAGGGCGACUCGCGGGGCCGGACCACGAGUGCCAUCUUCUUCCUCUGUGGUGAGACGGCAUAGGGUGGGCCUGGUAGCUGGAGGAGGUAGGGGCCCCGAGGGCGAGGAGCUAAAGAGGCAGGGUCAGGGGCGGGGCCAGGGAGAUGGGGUAGAGCAG